GGUAGUCCACGCCGUAAACGAUGUCGACUUGGAGGUUGUUCCCUUGAGGAGUGGCUUCCGGAGCUAACGCGUUAAGUCGACCGCCUGGGGAGUACGGCCGCAAGGUUAAAACUCAAAUGAAUUGACGGGGGCCCGCACAAGCGGUGGAGCAUGUGGUUUAAUUCGAUGCAACGCGAAGAACCUUACCUACUCUUGACAUCCACGGAAUUUGGCAGAGAUGCCUUAGUGCCUUCGGGAACCGUGAGACGGGUGCUGCAUGGCUGUCGUCAGCUCGUGUUGUGAAAUGUUGGGUUAAGUCCCGCAACGAGCGCAACCCUUAUCCUUUGUUGCCAGCGGUUAGGCCGGGAACUCAAAGGAGACUGCCAGUGAUAAACUGGAGGAAGGUGGGGAUGACGUCAAGUCAUCAUGGCCCUUACGAGUAGGGCUACACACGUGCUACAAUGGCGCAUACAAAGAGAAGCGACCUCGCGAGAGCAAGCGGACCUCAUAAAGUGCGUCGUAGUCCGGAUUGGAGUCUGCAACUCGACUCCAUGAAGUCGGAAUCGCUAGUAAUCGUAGAUCAGAAUGCUACGGUGAAUACGUUCCCGGGCCUUGUACACACCGCCCGUCACACCAUGGGAGUGGGUUGCAAAAGAAGUAGGUAGCUUAACCUUCGGGAGGGCGCUUACCACUUUGUGAUUCAUGACUGGGGUGAAGUCGUAACAAGGUAACC
rnacentral:rRNA from 1 species